AGUGAACGCUGGCGGCAGGCCUAACACAUGCAAGUCGAGCGGCAGCGCAGCAGUAGCAAUACUGUGGGCGGCGAGCGGCGGACGGGUGAGGAAUACAUCGGAAUCUACCUUCUUGUGGGGGAUAACGUAGGGAAACUUACGCUAAUACCGCAUAAGACCUGAGGGUGUAAGCAGGGGACCGCAAGGCCUUGCGCGAGAAG
rnacentral:rRNA from 1 species